UUCCUGCUCCCGGUGUACCAUCCCGGCGGCCGCUGCCCGGCGGCGCCCUGCGAGCGGCCGUGAACCGCUGAGGUCUCGCUAACACAGACUGUGAGCUCCUUGAAAGUAGGUGUCAGACCUGAAUUAUUCAUGUAUCCCCAGUACCUGGCACGGUGCCUGUCAACUGCUCAAGCUCUGUACGGUGGCUGAUGCUCUCCACCUGCCGCUGGAUACCCAGGAGCCCUCACUCUGUCUUGGAGAACAGCCACAAGGGUGAAGCAGAGUCGGAGCCUGAGGCUAGCCACUGGAGGCCAAUCUGGAGAAGAAGCGCCCAACAUGAUGACAAUGGGGGUCAUCCCCGUUCUGGCAACACCAGAAACAGAUGCUGGCACCGUGCGAGAGUGGAGAUCAACGGGUGCACCUCUAAAGCCAGAGAGAUCAACAGAAUAAAUGAGAGAGUGCAUGCACAUGGGAGGAAGAGUGGGUGUGUCCACACUGUCACCAGAGUGAGCUCUAGAUCUGAACAGCUCCGGUACCCGCAUGCACGCGUGGGGUAGGGUGCGUAUGAAAUACCGUUAUGUCGCCUUCCCAACGAUGGGAGAGACUGGCUGGUUACAGUGACGCUGAGGAUGAAGGGAACAGCAGAGAUGGGAUGGGAUGACUGGGGACAAGAACACAAGGAAGGAAAACGGGAAAAGCUCCCUGAAAAGAAAUAUAAAUAAAGCAGUAAGUCAUGUUCA